UACGUAGGGUGCAAGCGUUGUCCGGAAUUAUUGGGCGUAAAGAGCUUGUAGGCGGUUUGUCGCGUCUGCUGUGAAAUUUCGGGGCUCAACCCCGAACUUGCAGUGGGUACGGGCAGACUAGAGUGUGGUAGGGGAGACUGGAACUCCUGGUGUAGCGGUGGAAUGCGCAGAUAUCAGGAGGAACACCGGUGGCGAAGGCGGGUCUCUGGGCCGAUACUGACGCUGAGGAGCGAAAGCGUGGGGAGCGAACAGG
rnacentral:rRNA from 1 species